CUGCCCUUCCCCCAUAGGCUUUUCCCUAUAUAAUCUAUUCAUUCUGACUACCUGCGCCUUUUGUACCUUUGGUUCCUGGCUGCUACACCUGGUUCCCCUCUCUACCCUCUCCCGGCAUGCCCCAACUCAGUCUGAUCAUGUCUACUGUGGACUCUUACAGGCGGCUCUGACUCUGCCUAUGCUCGCCCCACAUAUCUAUAAUAAACUUCCUCCUUCAUGAUACCUAGGAGCAGUCAUGUCCUUUCUUUUCCAAUUUGUUUCUCCAGUCUGUAGUGACUUCAGAGCCUUCUGUCUACAGACUUUAAAAGUCAGCUGAUCCAGCACCACCAGUUGUAAGUACACGGGUUUCAAGCAUCUGAGCCUGUGUAAGACCCCAAGUUAACCUAUAAGCCCCACCCACCCAAGGACCAAGCAACUUCCUGGAAUGCUGGGAGUUGUAGUUCUUAGAAAGUAACAAAGCCUCAUGGGAAAACAUCAUGGCCUAUGGGUUUAUCCUUAUAAGCCCUUGCAAAACUCAGCUGGGAAUUCCAGGGAGCGGUCCUGACCAAAGCCCAUCCUGAUUCGGCGGAAAAACAUUGCCCGAGCCAGCGAUUACUCCUAUCGGAUAUUCAGGACUCUUUUUUUUUUCCUGGUAGCUUUUCCCUUGAUACAGCACAAUGCAGAGAAGAUGAGACCAGCUCUCACACACAAUAGAGCUUUAAAAUAUCUAACAACGA